GCCGGGUGUGGUGGCAUGCACCUGUAGUCCCAGCUACUCGGGAGGCUGAGGUGGGAGGAUCACUUGAGCUCAGGAGGUCGAGGUUGCAGUGAGCUGAGAUCACGCCACUGCACUCCAGCCUGGGCAACAGAGCAACACCCCAUCUCAA
ensembl:misc_RNA Metazoa_SRP Metazoan signal recognition particle RNA